UGGAAAGUAUUAUUGGGCUGCUAACCUAAUGUAUCAGUUUUAAUUUCUGACUUUCUGU
rnacentral:tRNA from 1 species